rnacentral:lncRNA from 1 species
UAUGUUCGUUCUAAUUAAGGCAGAACAUUUGUUUUUCUUAGAUAUGAGAGCACAUAUCUAACAGGGAAUUAGGAGUUUAAGAUGGCAACCAUUCUAUAACUUGAGACCAGAGGCGGAUUCAAAUGGAACAGCUAAAAUUUUUACCGGACACUAUAUUUGUUAAUAAAAUUGAUAAAUUUAUCGGCAGAUUUAUAUAUAUAUAUAUAUAUAUAUAUUAUAAAUGAACACCGCAGAAAAAAUUUUUUUUGAAUCCGUCGGUACAUGAGAGGACAAUGAAAGAGGAAAAACAUCAAGAAAAAAGGAUGGGGAUUUAUGCUUACUCAUGAUCACUCAUUUUCCAUAAGAACAUGUCAAGUUCUUGUUCCCUCUUAUUUUCUUUCUUAUGCUUUGGCAUUAGGGAGCAAGACCAUGAAGUUUUCGGUUCAAAGUAGAGAAUGUCUUGAUGGGAUUUGUCAGGAACCUUUAACAAAGGGGAGCUAUUUCAUUACCUAAUAAGCUGAUUUCACAGUAAUUGUGCUAUGUAUAAAGAAAAGGAUAUUUGGUAAAUGGGUUGACAACCUGCAAAAGAAAAAAAAAAUAGUUAACAGAGGGGAUGUUAAUCACUAAUCACAGCCACAAUUUUCUAUUUGAAAGUCUAAUUAAGUCUGGACCAAUAGUGUAAUCUAGUGUAAUCGAAUCAAUACACUGUCAAACUUGAAUUCAUUUGGACUUGAAAACUUAAGGCUCGAAGCUCAAUUUGAGCUUGAUUAAGUUUUAUUUUUUAUACUCGAACUCGGCUCAUAAUUUAAGUGAGUCACUCAAACUCGACUCGAUAAGCUCAAUUAAAUUUGAUAAAAUUAUAAAUAUUGACAUUAAACACUAUAUUUUUAUCAUUUACUUAUAAAUAUAUUUCAAAAAUAAAAGCUAAACUAAGCUCGCAAGCCUCUCAAGUUAGGUAUUAAACUAUUCUAACUCAAUUCAACUCGUUACUUAAGUAACUUAAACUCGAGCUUAGCUUGACAGUGAACAAGUUGAGCUUGAGUUUUUUUUUUUUUUUAAUUAAGCCCGAAUAACUCACAUGACUUGUUUACACCUCUAGCCUUGACUAGGCAAGGUAAAGUGAUAAUGAUGAGAUCACUAGGUGGAAAGGCUUGCCAGACAAAAUAUAAUAUCAUGGGAAUUAGUUUUUUCUCAAGUUUGCAUAUAAGCGAGAUGUUUUCACUUUGCUUGGUAUCCCUGCCAGAUAUCAGCCCAUUGCAUUGCUAUCGAUGACAUUUUCAAAUAUGUGCAAUUCCACCAAUUAGUAUAAUUAAGCACAGGACAAAUUGUCAAGAGAAAUCUGAUAAGAUGAGCAGCGUACCGUUGUCCACACAGCAAUCUUUGAAGCAAUCAGAUCUUUAGGCAUGUUAAGAGUAAACUGUGAUUCUGUUGCUUCUCCAAACAUUGUGUACCCCAUAAUUGCAGUUCCAGCAUACAACAAAGAACAGAUUCCAAAACUGCAAGGAAAUUAAAAUCAAAGAUGAUAAGAUUAGCAGCAUCUAUAACUACAAAGACCACCUAUGAAGGAAUAACGAGGCACACGGUUAAUGGGAGAUUUAGGAUUUUUGUUUCAAGGUGUUUACUUAUAAAAUAUAUAAAAAAUUAUUAAUAAAUUUAUCAAUUUUAUUAAUGAAAAAGAUGUUUAGGAAAAAAAAUUUCCUGCAAAUUUUUUUAUUUUUCAAUUUUUGAGAUAUCCGUGAACACCCUAGUUCAAAGAGUGGAUCUGCCUCUGCACAUUGUUAGUAAUCAACAAUUUAUGAACUUUUUUCUUACUUCAACAUAGCAUAUACACUGCUAGCAACCGUGUGAUAUGUUAAUAGAAUGUUGUACAUCUUAGUUUCAAUGGCCAAAAUUCAAUAUCCGACAGCCUCAAACACGAGAAAAAAACAUACACAAUGCAGAACCUUGCACUAUAAAAAAAAGGCAUAAAACAAUUGUUCGAAUAAUACCUUGAACCGGCUGAACUAAUGCAGAAAGGUAAAAAGAGCCCAGAAAGAGUAACAACAUAAUCACAUUUAGCAAGAAAUAUUUUGGAUUUCAGAGUCUGUUUAGAUAAGAAAUAGAAUUGAGUAGCUUUAAUUUACCAUGCUAAGAGUACUGAAGGGAAUUGAUUUGGUUUUGCCAUUGAGGUAUAGAUAUUUGGGAAAACAGCAUGUCCUGAAUAGCAAUAGCCAUAAAGUCCAACAGCAACAGGUAGAGUAGACAGGUUCAAUGUAGUCCCUUUGUUAUGAAAGCCAACUUGGUCUACCAAGCCAACCCAAAACAAGCAGAGUACUAUCAAGAUUGAUGCAACAACUCCACCAGCUGGAAACAGACAAAGAAUACACUGAGACAAGACUUGGCAAUUCGUGUAUUUGUAUCGUAUUUUACACGAAAAUUAUAUGUAAUAAUUUGUGUCGAUACAAAAAAAUGAAAUAUAUUUCUUUGGUUUUUGUUAAACCCAUGUAUAUUUUUGCUAAAACUUUAACUUGUAUCACCUUCGUAUUUUUUUUCCUAUCAAUUUUGGAUUGUGUCACUCUGUUGUGUUUUAUAGUGUCAGGUUUAACUCAAACUAUGCUACAAAGUGCUGAGAUCAGUAUGUUUCUUACCAGAGAUAUAACUAAGAACACUGAGGUCUCUGAGCCAAACAGUAGGAAGAACAGCAAUGGUUGUCAUCACUGCAAAUAGACGCGGGGAGCUCAACUCAAAUCCACCCAAACUAAUGUGUGCAUUUGGGAAUAAGGAUGACAAGUUGUCACCCUCUAAAAUUAUGUAUUCAACACAACAAGCCUGCACAUGAGAAGAUUGUAAGGGUACAACCUCACUGGUAAAAGAAGUGAACACGUUCAAAAAGAAAAAAAUUCUACAGCAAUGAUACAUUCUCCAUGAUAUAAAUAUAUAUUUGAUCAAGUAAAUAAUCUAUAUCAACGGUAUCAGAUGAUAGUGGCAGGUGAUCAUAAGUUCAUCAAGUUAUGCAGAACCACUUUUUACAAUUUAUCUGCAAUUUUGCCCCAAAAAAGAAAAAAUAAACCUUUUUUUUUUUUGGCAAUUGAUCAAAGUAUUUAACCAUCCAGGUUCUCGUUUAGGAUAUACGAAAAAGUUUUAGAAGCUGCAAACACAAAAUGGUAUUAAUAUGAGGAGAUAUUUCUGAAUAUUGAUUCAGUGACCAAAAUUCACUCUAGUUGAGGUACUUUACAUUACAGGAAGUCAGAACUCAGACGUAUAGACCAUGCCUUAAGUAGUAGUGUACUUGCCAUUGAACCUAGAGGCUUUUUGGCAUUGGCUGAAUUUGAUCAUAUUAUUCUGAAAUUGUGCUUGACAGAAACUUCAAAAUUUGCAUGACAAAAAAGAUUUUGAUCUUUUUUUGCAGGUACGUGAAAAAUGAUUCCCUGUAGCAUUCGUUAAAAAAGUUGUAGCAUAUCUUAAAAUGAACUACGAGUUUUGCUCAAUUGAUUUAUGUAAAUAGUAACAUCUAAUAGAUUUGAAAUUCAAAUCAUAAAACCUAAAAUUCUUUCCCUGUCCCAACCUACGGUCUCUUUGUAUAAAAAAAUGUUGUAGCCACUAUUUCCUUCAUUGAUGAACAAGUAAAUUAGAGAUAGAAGUUACUGAGUAGAGUAGAAGGAAGAGAAAGCCAAAAUGUAGGACCCUAGGAAUCUUUAAGACGACCCUGUUGGAAUCUUAGCUUAUAUUUUCUCUUGUAACCAUUGUAGCUGUAGCUUGACAGCUAUUGGAUUUGUCAUAAAAAAAAUAGACAAUACUUAUUCUUUUAGAAAAGCCAGCUGUACUUACAUAUAACUCCGCGUAUAAAAUUAUCUGCAAUCACAGGAAAAAACAAAGACCAAAAUUUACAUUAGUGAUCAUUCAGUUUUUGUAAACUAGUGCUAAUUUAAUCUGUCAAUUUUCCCAGUUUCUAUCUUGAAACAUUUAAAAAAAACUUGCUAAGUCUGCCGAAUUAUUUAAAAAUUCAUAAUUGACAUAAAAAUAGUAAUUAACAAAAAUAUUUGAUAUGAUAAUUCUUGUUACUCGUAUUUAUUAAUUUUGUGUCAAACAUGUACAAAACACAAAAAUGACAAGAUCAUAAUUCGUGUCUACAUAUUAAAUACGAAACAUAGUUUUUAUUUUUGUUAAAUUCAUAUACGAUUUUUGUUAAAAUUUUAAAUCGAAUCAUUUUUGUAUUUUAUUUAAUAUUAUUUUUGUGUUUAAAAUUAUCAAAUCUAUUGACCAAAAAAGACUUGAACUUACCGAAAGGGCGAUCCUACCGGCGGUACCAAAUGCAGCUUGACCAAUAUCAGGGUAAGUUUCAAGGCCAGGUUCACUGUCCAGGCAUUGGCGCAAGAGCAGUCCAGUGUAAAAAGAAAGCACUGCAAAUGUGAAUAGUAUUAUAAGACCCAACCAUCCUCCUUCCUUGGCAGCAUAUGGGGUAGAAAGGAUUCCAACUCCACAUAGCACAUUAAUCCCUGCAUAAACGCAAAUCAAAAGUACUUUAUUUAAUUUGGAUUGAAGUUCUGGAAUGUGGUUUCAAAAUCAAGUAAAUGUAAAAUCUUAAGUUGUUUUUAACAAAUAUUGAUUGUCUAUGCAUAUAAAAUGAUCUAUAGUUGGGUAAUAAUUAAUGCAUCUAUUAUUAGUCUAGUUUCGGUUUGGUGGAUAUGAAUUUUCCAAGUUUGGAUUGUUUUUUAUAGAGUUAUAUUAAGUUUAAGAUUCAAAUUUAAAUAAAAAUAAUACUUAAAUUUAUUAAAUUUUACCUAAAUUCAUAUUAUUAUGAAUUUUGAUCUGAUCAGAUUUAUGUUUUAAUUCACUUAGGUUCAAAUCAGUUUAGAUUUAAAUCUUAAUUUUUUUUAUAAGUUCGAGUUUGAUGGGUUCGGGUGGAUUCUUAUUCGAGUUUUUUUUUGGACGAGUUUUGAGAUUUGAACUUAUUUUGCCACUUCUAAGGUUAGAUAAACAUGAAUGGUGAUGAUAGAUGUAUUGAUUAUUUGAUUAUUAUGGAUUUGUAAAAACCAGGAUAAAAAAACCCAUUUACAGCUUCAUCGCUGUCUACCUUUUUUUUUUAAAGCCAAACAUUGCAGCCUAUGGAUUUUUAUUGACAUCUAAAGUUUAUAGUUUUGUUGGCAAGUUGUCUUUUCAUGUGCACCAUGUGCAACAGAAGUUAGGCCAACUCAUCAUAGUUUCAAUUGAGAAAAUUUGUUUUCAUGUCAAUAAAUGAUGACACUAAAGAGCAAUGGACAAAGACAACAUGGCCUGUCAUAGUGAUUUUCUAUUGGCUAAGGUUUACAAGCCACAUAAGCUGAAAGAUGGUAAGAAAAAAAAAACUAGUGGUAACAGAGGAUGGAUCGGAUAUAUCAGACAAAGCUGAGCCCUACUUCAAGCCAUGAGAGGAGGGGGUGUUGGUGACAAAACGUGACCGCCUGUUUUAGUUCACUUUAAAUAACGUGAUCCCACACAUGAUUGGUUUUGUCUUCCUUUUUUGAUUAAAGGCCAAUAAAAGGUUAGGGUUGGUUGAUGUAAAACAAUCCUAAAAUGGCAAGUGGCUUUUAUAAAAGAUGAGUUAGAUGAAUGGUAGUUUAAUUCAGCUGGUAUGCAAUUAUUUUAAAAGAUAGUAUUUAAUAAAUUUGAAGUUCGAGUUUUAAUUUUUAUAUAUUUUUUAUUUUUAAAUUAUGAUUUUUUUUUUUAUAAAAAAAAUUGAAUGUCCAAGACCAAUAAUUUUCAUGAAUUUAAUUGUAAGGAUGUGUUCGUAUAGUCAAGUUCAAUUUACCACACUUUCCUACAAUAAAAGAUCUUCUUGCAAUAUGAAUAAAAAAGUUAAAUCAAUAAUCAUAUGAUUUAUUGAAAGAGUGCUAAACUCGAUAAAAAAAAAAAAACUAAAGUAGACAUCUAAAAGCACCAUGAUCAUAUCUUUUUAAUGAUCCAAUGAUCCGAUUUUGGCAAACUGAGGCAACUAAAUGUAAGCAAUCUUUUUGGAAGGAUUUAUGGCUAAAUCAAAAUCGGUAAUAGUGGCAAGAAAAAUGUGCUUCAAUCACAUUGAGAAAUUGCAACUACAUGACAGAUAAAAAUUGGGGAAUGACCAAGAGUUAUAUGUGAACUAACCAUUGAGCACAGCUUGUCCAUAUGUGCUGUGGCGAGAAAUUGGAAAUUCAUGGGAGACCUUGGAUGCUUUAUCAUCUACUCUUGCAGAUUGUCUCCUCGAUGGGAUCGGAGGCAGCAAAGCAUGCGAACUGCGUCUUUGAGGCUGUAUUUGAUCAUCUGUUGGUAGUAGAGGUUUUGUCACUGCAGAUAAUGAUUCCGGAGUAUGCCUUCUCGUCAAAGAUGAGGAAAGAAAUGAACUACUAAAUCUUGAAAGUGUAGGAGUGCCCAAGAAACCGAUACUCGGAGAUGGUACACUGCUAUACAUAUCAAUGGACUGCCUGAAAAAUUUACAGAAGCCAUAAAUACUUGAAACUAGAAGUGUAAGCAAUGCCUCAAAGAAGUGAUUAAACAGGUUUUUUUUUUUUUUUUUUUUUUUUUUUAGUUGAGGUUGUCAGGGUUUGAUAUGGUGACUGAAACUAAGAGUCCAGACCAUGUGACUGUUGGCUAAAACAGUUUACUUUGAAUACAGGACUUUCAACUUAUUAUACCAAAUUUGGCUAAAUCUUUUAUACUAGAAUAUACAACUAUUUGUAUGUUUGAAGGAAUUACAUCCUGAUGGUUCUAGCAGCAGAAUGUAGAACAAUUGAGUGAUCAAAAUUGAAUGAGAGAAACAUCUUUUUAUUGUACAUUAUAGUUUAAAAAUUAAAUAAUCAACCAACUUAAAUAGUAUAAUUCUAUUAGGGCCCCAUAGAGGAUUCAUAUUUCAAAUAUCAACAGGGCAGGAUUAAGCAUAAUUCAAUAAUUGCAGAUGGAUUUAUAGGCCAAAGUGUCAUAGAGAAGCAUCUCCUAAACAAACUUUUGCACAUCUUUCAUCGGCGAUCGUGAUCACGAGUGAAUCAAUCAUAGUUAAAGUACUUUCUUUCCCUUUCUAAAGAUCUACUCAAAUCUACCUGAAUUUCCUCUGAAUUUUUUUUUUUUUUUUUUAUAUUUCUGUAAAAAAAUCCAGGCUGCUAUGACUAUGAGACUCUGACUUAUGAAAGUGAACAGACCAAAGCAAAGAAAAACAGAGCAGUGGUGAAAUCAGGUGAGAUAUGAAAAGAGAAAUGACC